UACGUAGGGGGCAAGCGUUGGUCCGGAGUUACUGGGCGUAAAGCGCACGCAGGCGGUCUCUUAAGUUUGGAGUUGACAGUUGGUGGCUUAACUGCCAAAGUGCUUCGAAAACUGAGAGACUUGAGGGCUUCAGAGGGACACGGAAUUCCGGGUGGAGUGGUGAAAUGCGUAGAGAUCCGGAGGAACACCAAAGGCGAAGGCAGUGUCCUGGGGAGUACCUGACGCUCAGGUGCGAAAGCCAGGGGAGCGAACGGG
rnacentral:rRNA from 1 species